CUUAACCCUAACCACCGCCAAUGUUUCCCUUCUCUAACCAAACCUAGCAGCAGUAGAAAAGAAAGAAAGAAACACUGAGGGUAGAGAGGGGAGAACGGGAGAGCAGAGGAAGAGGGGAAAAAGGGGCACCAUAUGCAGUCAUCACCGCCGUGCCGCGUCGCUGCUCUACCGCCGUUAGAGCUUCUAUCGCUGUCAGAACUACACGUCGUCGCUGGAAGCAUCUUCAUCACCAUCGUUCUAUGGAGCCGAGCCCACGUCGCUGUCGCAAAUGAAGAGGAGGCCGCGUCAGCUCGCCGCCAAGCCGUUACCGUCGAGGUUCCGCACCAGCACCAUUGUUGCUGAGUUGGUCCGCGCUAGCACCGUCAUCGCCGAGUUGCUUCGUCUUCCAGCCUCCAUCGUCGUCGUCGCUAGGUUGCCCGAAGAAGGGGAUCGGGAAGAGAGAGGGAGUUUGCAUCCGUUGCUGCUAUUGGAGGGCAGGACCGUCACAGAGAAGGGUUGAGUCGUCGCUGUCGUGCCUCAACCGCCGUCUAUUUGCUGCUGCUAUUGUUGUUGGAGGUCGUCAUCGUCGUUAAAAAAGGGGAAAACAAGCGAGUGACGCCAAAGAAGGGGUUUCCAUCGCUGCCGGUCCCUGUUGGAUUCCACCGUGGAGAAGAGAACGACGCGAGGGAGAGAGGGAGACAGAGUCGUGCGAGCCAGAGGAGCCACCGUCCUUGCCGUUGCCGCCACGGUCGACGGUGAGUCAUGCACCACCAUCAGAGUCGAAGAUAGCACCAACCUUCUUCUUCUGGUUUCGAUUUCCCUAUUCUUGAACCUGUGAUAGUAUUAAUGGUACUAACGAGCUAUUGCAGUUGCUACCGCUACUGAAAUCAACAAAGAAGGGAUCAUCGCGUUUAAAUUCGACGGGUUCGACUAACUGAGGAAAUGGACGAAAAAGCUUAUGAAGAAUAGUUGAGUUUGGCUUAUGCGAUUGAAGAUGGUUUAGUUUAGUUAUUAUUAUUCUUCCCUCGCCAUCAAUAUUAUAACUUUUGUAAGAGGGAUAGGAGUUUUGAUAUGUGGAGUUUAUAUAUUGGUAUGAUGUAUAUGUAUAUAUAUUACUUGUGAGUAUUAUAAAUUGUAUUGAAAAGUAUGGAUGUAUGUUUUGAA